AGUGAGAGUAGAGGUGCAAUUUUCAUCAGUAGGUCAGUUCAGGAGGUUGAACUCCCACGAUCCUUUCCGAAAGGGGAAAUUGCCGAAGCACUCAGGUGUUCAACCAUCUGAUCGCUGGUUCUGCCCUUAAAUAAAGGCAGAACUGUCGUACAGCCCAGCUGCUGUAUGGAGGGCUAUCUCACGC
rnacentral:ncRNA from 2 species